rnacentral:rRNA from 1 species
UACGUAGGGUGCGAGCGUUAAUCGGAAUUACUGGGCGUAAAGCGUGCGCAGGCUGUUUUGUAAGUCAGAUGUGAAAUCCCCGGGCUCAACCUGGGAACUGCAUUUGUGACUGCAUAGCUAGAGUACGGUAGAGGGGGAUGGAAUUCCGCGUGUAGCAGUGAAAUGCGUAGAUAUGCGGAGGAACACCGAUGGCGAAGGCAAUCCCCUGGACCUGUACUGACGCUCAUGCACGAAAGCGUGGGGAGCAAACAGG